UCACAAUAUUUGUAUUUCUUUUUUCAGUCUGGAGAUGCCUUUGUUUCUGCAAUUCUAAAUGUAGAUGCAAACGUGUCAAAGCUAUUUUAGUCAAUUUGUCUGGAUCUGCAGCUUUGUUUGUAGGGGUUGCUAGGUGCAGCUGUCUGUCUGUCUGUCUGUCUAAGUAUUGAAGGGGGACAGCUGUCUGUCUAAGUAUUGAAGGGGGACAGCUUUAGGGCUUUGAGGAACAAGCAGUCCACACUAAAUUAUGUCCUUGUUAACAGGGGUGACAUGACAACGAGCCAAGGACAUUCCACAGACUACCCGUUAUCCUCAAGAGCACAAUGGAGGACGCCACCUUUGAUGCCUGUAAGUCAACUGGGCCCGUUGUGUCCGGCGACCCACGGACCAUUAGAGACCCCUGCCCAGAGGAAGGGCUCCGGAUGGCAGGCUGCAUGGCCGGAGUACAAAGCAGCAGCACCUACAAACUGGACAUUGAGAGUGCACUGGCCUGGCUGCGCAGGGAACUGAUGGAGAUGCGAUCUCAGGACCAGGCCUUGAUACGACAGCUGAUGGACCUUCACGCUGGAAUACAAGAGCUCAAGCUGGAGUGUGCCGAAGCAGAGGAGGAGGAAGAGGAGGAUGACGAGACAGAGGAGGAAGGGAGCUGGGACUUUGGUAGUGAGGCAGGGGGCAGUGGUAGUAGUGUUUACUCCAGCUCAGGGGAAGUGGGCUUUUCCAUAUCUUGCCUGUCCACUAGAAUGACUCCACCUCCUCUGGGGUCAUCUCUACCUAGAAGGACUUCCAGCAGAAGAAGCUCCUUGCCUUAA
rnacentral:lncRNA from 13 species